rnacentral:rRNA from 1 species
GACGUAGGAGGCGAGCGUUGUCCGGAUUCAUUGGGCGUAAAGAGCACGCAGGCGGUUUGGCAAGUCGGAUGUGAAAACCCGGAGCUCAACUCCGGACCUGCAUCCGAAACUGCCCGACUAGAGGUAUGCAGGGGAGAAUGGAAUUCCUGGUGUAGCGGUGAAAUGCGCAGAUAUCAGGAGGAACACCGGUGGCGAAGGCGGUUCUCUGGGCAUUACCUGACGCUGAGGAGCGAAAGUGUGGGGAGCGAACAGG